rnacentral:rRNA from 1 species
UACGUAGGGCGCAAGCGUUAUCCGGAAUUAUUGGGCGUAAAGAGCUCGUAGGCGGUUUGUCGCGUCUGCCGUGAAAGUCCGGGGCUCAACUCCGGAUCUGCGGUGGGUACGGGCAGACUAGAGUGAUGUAGGGGAGACUGGAAUUCCAGGUGUAGCGGUGAAAUGCGUAGAUAUCUGGAGGAACACCGGUGGCGAAGGCGGCAUCCUGGACCGGCAUUGACGCUGAGGCGCGAAAGCCAGGGGAGCAAAGCGGG